rnacentral:rRNA from 1 species
AUUGAACGCUGGCGGCAGGCCUAACACAUGCAAGUCGAACGGUAACAGGAAACAGCUUGCUGUUUCGCUGACGAGUGGCGGACGGGUGAGUAAUGUCUGGGAAACUGCCUGAUGGAGGGGGAUAACUACUGGAAGCGGUAGCUAAUACCGCAUAACGUCGCAAGACCAAAGAGGGGGACCUUCGGGCCUCUUGCCAUCGGAUGUGCCCAGAUGGGAUUAGCUAGUAGGUGGGGUAACGGCUCACCUAGGCGACGAUCCCUAGCUGGUCUGAGAGGAUGACCAGCCACACUGGAACUGUGACACGGUCCAGACUCCUACGGGAGGCAGCAGUGGGGAAUAUUGCACAAUGGGCGCAAGCCUGAUGCAGCCAUGCCGCGUGUAUGAAGAAGGCCUUCGGGUUGUAAAGUACUUUCAGCGGGGAGGAAGGGAGUAAAGUUAAUACCUUUGCUAAUUGACGUUACCCGCAGAAGAAGCACCGGCUAACUCCGUG